GGGGUAUGACAUGGAGCGCUCUGA
rnacentral:siRNA from 1 species